rnacentral:rRNA from 1 species
CGAAACCAGGCGAUCUAUCCAUGAGCAGGUUGAAGGUUGGGUAACACUAACUGGAGGACCGAACCCACUGUCGUUGAAAAGCCAGGGGAUGACUUGUGGAUAGGGGUGAAAGGCUAAUCAAGCCUGGUGAUAGCUGGUUCUCCCCGAAAGCUAUUUAGGUAGCGCCUCGGACGAAUACCAUAGGGGGUAGAGCACUGUUUCGGCUAGGGGGUCAUCCCGACUUACCAAACCGAUGCAAACUCCGAAUACCUAUGAGUACUAUCCGGGAGACAGACUGCGGGUGCUAACGUCCGUAGUCAAGAGGAAAACAAUCCAGACCGCCAGCUAAGGCCCCAAAAUCAUAGUUAAGUGGGAAACGAUGUGGGAAGGCAUAGACAGCUAGGAGGUUGGCUUAGAAGCAGCCACCCUUUAAAGAAAGCGUAAUAGCUCACUAGUCGAGUCGGCCUGCGCGGAAGAUGUAACGGGGCUAAAACUAUGUGCCGAAGCUGCGGAUUUGACAUUAGUCAAGUGGUAGGGGAGCGUUCUGUAAGCCGAUGAAGGUGUAUUGAGAAGUAUGCUGGAGGUAUCAGAAGUGCGAAUGCUGACGUGAGUAACGACAAAACGGGUGAAAAACCCGUUCGCCGAAAGACCAAGGGUUCCAGUCCAACGUUAAUCGGGGCUGGGUGAGUCGACCCCUAAGGC